rnacentral:tRNA from 1 species
GAUCGUCGUCUCCGGUGAGGCGGCUGGACUUCAAAUCCAGUUGGGGCCGCCAGCGGUCCCGGGCAGGUUCGACUCCUGUGAUC